CCAAGAUUGUCAGCCCCGAGGAGCUGGCGAAGUCCGGCAGCCGGCCGAAGAGUUCCUUCUUCACUUUAUCCAUCUUCUCGUUGAUAACAGUGGUCAUUCUGCGCAUGAGGAUCGAGGGUGACUUGUUUCUACUCCGGUUCGAUAGGUUCUGAGAUGGCUGAUGAGUCCAGUGCGUGAUCUGCAGAGUCUGUCACAUGCAGGACAGGUGAUGUUUACAAGCCACAAGCUUUCCCUUGAAAGUUCCUGACCGUAUCUGGACUCCCUUUAAGAAGCAACCUUCUUCACAAAACUUUUUUUCUAUUUGCCUCAGAAUAAACUGUCAAAAAGUUGGAAAAUAGAAUUUACAACGCUGUACAGUAAUAUCUCAAUUCUAACAAUCAAAACUCCCUAUAAUUGUUGCAAUAAAUAUCCAGACUUCC